AACCUCAUCAACCGGAAGGAAUUCCUUCCGGUUGAUGAGUUCAAUCUUCCUCAUCAACCAGAAGGGAUCCCUUCCGGUUGAUGAAGGAU
rnacentral:miRNA from 1 species